UCCUUCCUAGUCCUCCCAGAGCAUUGGGAUUACAGGAGGAAGUCAAGAAGGAGAUGUGACCUAUGUGAGACCAUGCUCUGGAGAAGAGAGACCGCAUCAACAGCCAGACAUCUUUACAUGUAAAUGAUUCAUCAGAAGCAAAAAUUUGGAGUCAGAGAAGACAAGGAGAAAUGUAGUCAUCUCCCCACCCCAACACACUUAGGGCUUAACUUGGAGUGGUUGGGGGCAUGCGAAUCAACUGACUAAGAUAAAAGACAAGGAUGAACGGAUGGAUGUGUGAAAGGAAAAUAAAUCUUGGAGCCCCCAAAUCACUAAGCUAAAGGGAAAAGUCAAGCUGGGAACUGCUUAGGGCCAACCUGCCUCCCAUUCUACUCAAAGUCACCCCUCUGCUCACUGACACAGAUGCAUAUCUGAUUGCCUCCUUCGGAAAGGCGAAUCAGAAACUCAAAAGAAUGCAACCAUUUGUGCCUCACCUAUUUGUGACCUGUAAGCCUCCUCUCUGCUUCAAGUCUUCCUAGCUUUGCUUCAAGUUGUCCCGCCUUUCCAGACCGAAACAGUGUACUUCUUACAUAUGUUGUUUGAUGUCUCGUGUCUCCUUAAAAUGUAUAAAACUAAGCUGUGACUGAGCACCUUGGGCACAUGUUGUCAGGACUUCCUGAGGCUGUGUCACGGGCACAUCCUCAACUUUGGCAAAAUAAACUUUCUAAAUUAACUGAGAUCUGUCUCAGAAUUUCUGGGUUCAUAGAUUGACAGGGAAUUUUUUUUUUUUUUUUUUUUUUUUUGAGACAGGGUCUGGCUUUGUCACCCAGGCCAGAGUGCAGUGGUGCAAACUCAGCUCACUGCAACCCCUGUCUCCUUGGCUCAAGUCAUCCUCAGACCUCAGCCUCCUGAGUAGCUGGGACAGCAGACAUGUGCCACCACUCCCAGCUAAUUUUUUUUUGUAUUUUUUGUAGAGAUGGGGCUUCACCAUGUCACCCAGGCUGGUCUCCAACUCCUGAGCUCAAGCGAUCCGCCCACCUUGGCCUCUCAAAGUGCUGGGAUUACAGGUGUGAGUCACUGUGCCCGGCCAGCAUUUCAUUGUCUUUUAUGACAUUGCCAUUUUUGAAAAAACAAUCCCUUUUUUAAAAAAAAAACUAGAAUGUUCCUUAUUUUGAGUUUGUCUGAUACUUCCUCAUGAUUAGUUUCAGAGUAUGCAUUCUGGCCAGAAUAGCACAUUAGUGAUGUUGUCCUCAGGGAGUCACACCUAGAAGCAUAUAAUCUGUGUGUCAAAUGCCCCUUAUUUGUGAUGUCAAUUUUGAUCUGCUGGUCAAGGUAUUGUCUGAGUUGUUCAAAUGAUAGUAGUUUUUUUCUCUUAUUCCUAAUAAGCAAUCUAUGGGAAGAUAUCAUAAGGUCAUCCAAAUAUCCUGCUCCUCAUCAAAAAUUUAUCUCUAGAUUUAGCAUCUAUUGAUAAUUUUUGCCCAAAUGAAUCAAUAUUUACUGUGUUGGCAGAAAAAAAAUGAAGAUUUUCCAGUUCAAUUACUCUUUUCACAUUUACAAUUCAGCACUUGGCAUUCUUGCAUAAGCAAGACCUCUUCUUUCUUUACAUAUUUAUCUACAUGUUAUUAGCAUGGACUAAUGAAAUUACUAGGUUUUUUUGUUUGUUUGUUUGUUUUUUCCCAAUGGUUGGUGCUCAAAUUGUCCUAUAUUUGAUGAAUGGGAGCCCCUUCAAGCUGGCUCCUGUGUUCUCGUGUCAUGCCCUAUCAUUUUGAGCAGUUCCUUACUCUUUGACCUAAUAAGUUGCUUCAGGCUCACCUUGUACCUUUUCUGGCCCACCCAUUUCGUCCAAGAGCCUUUGAAGAAAGGCUCUUUACUAGGGAAUGGUGUCAGAAUCCAACAUCUGAGUUCUAAGUCCUAAUAAUGUUUUAAGGAUAGAUUCUUAGGAUUAUAAUUUUUUUUUUUUUUUGGUCACAGUAUAGUUUUGGAGAUUCUUUAUAUGUAUCACCAAACUGCUUCCUGGAAAUGUACUGAUUUAUUCUCCUACCUGCAGUGCAUAAGAACGCACUUCUCUUUCCAUGCUCACUAACAUUACCUUUUUCCUAACUUUUCAGGUAGAAAAGUAUAUAAUAAUUUUUGUUUCCUAGAUGAUGAUGAUGAUUAUUAUUAUUAUUAUUAUUUGAGACAGAGUCUCCCUCUGUCGCCCAGGCUGGAGUGCAGUAGCUCAAUCUCGGCUCACUGCAACUUCCGCCUCCCAGGCUCAAGUGACUUCCCCAGCUGAGCCUCCCAAGCUGGAAACGUAGGUGCCAUAACACCUUGUCUAAUUUUUGUAUUUUUUUGCAGAGACAAAAUUUCGCCAUGUUGCCCAGGCCAGUCUUGAGCUCCUGGACUCAGCUAUCUACCUGCCUUGGCCUCCCGAAUGUUUCCUAGAUUACUAAUAAGGUUUGUUCAUUUAUUACCUGUUUUCAUUAAAUUAUCUGUUCAGGCUGGGCGCAAUGGCUCACGCCUGUAAUGCCAGCACUUUGGGAGGCCAAGGCGGGUGGAUCUCCUGAGGUCGGGAGUUUGAGACCAGCCUGGCCAACAUGGUGAAACCCUGUCUCUAAUAAAAAUACAAAAAUUAGCCAGGCGUGGUAGCCUGCACCUGUAAUCCCAGCUACUCAGGUGGCUGAGACAGGAGAAUCACUUGAACUCGGGAGGUGGAGGUUGCAGUGAGCUGAGAUUACGCCACUGCAACUCCAGCCUGGGCACCACAGAUUGGGACUCAGUCUCAAACAAAAAUAAAUAAAUAAAUAAAUAAGUUAUCUGUUCAUAUUGUGCCUACUUUUAUCAGAGCUUACAGUUUUAUAUCUGUAUGAAGUGUUCUUAUAUUUGGGACAAUGAUUUUGCUAGCUUAUUUACAUUUAAAUUUUCUUUGUACUUUUACUUUACAUUCAAGUAUUUGAUGUUUAUAUUGAGUCAAAUCUGUCCAUCCUUUCCUUUGUGAUUUUUUUCCCAUUGCUGUAAUGCUUAGGGUAUAUUUUUAUAGAGCAAUAAUAAAUAUUUUAGUGUUAAUUAUAUUCUUGCUGCCCAAAUUAAAAAAGACUCUCUUUUUUUGUGGAAAAGAGUGGAGAAGGAAGAGUGUUGAUUCGUUCCAAAGAGAAUUUAAUAGUAGUAACAGUUAUUACUACUGUAACUGUUAAUGAAAAAGAUUGUGUGUGUGUGUGUGUGUGUGUGUGUGUGUGUGUGUGUUUCUUAAGAGUUCUGUUAACAUCAAGACUGUUCCUUGACUUUCUCCUUAGGGUCAGGUAUAGUUAAAAGGUAAA
rnacentral:lncRNA from 1 species